AUUAGAAAGGCCUUUUUAAGAAAUGAAACGUGUAUAUCGUGCUAGUAAUGUUAUAAAUCUGUCGUCUUUAAAUACACUUGAUAAUCGCAAAAAUUUAAGGCCUUUGCAUGUAAAAAAAUUGUACUCGUAAUUGUAAGGCCAUUCGAAUCUCGGCUAACAAGUAAGGUUCGAAUCUCGGCUAAGCAGAGUUUGAUUAUCGGCAAAGUAAGGUUUGAGUCUCUACUAACAACAAAGAGAUUCUAAAAUCUGAUUGCGAGCCUGAACCUGAACCUGAGCCAGUCUGAAAAUCUGAGUUUGGUUUUGGCCAAUUGUCCUUGAAAAUGGAGGCGGAUCGAUACUCGGCAAACCAGCAUGGAUAUGACCCGUAAGGAUGAAGGGUGCUCCAUCAUGCAUCUCGAAAAUAUAAGACGUGACUGCGCAGAGGAUGACUACAAGAGCGUUUCUAGCUGUACCGAUCACCCAAAGAAAUCUCUUCAAUGUGGAUCCGUGUGCGCAAGGUCGGGGAAAGACGAAGAGAAUUGCAGAUAUCGGUCGCGUCAUUGCAACGGAAUUUCAGCUGUAAAUAUUCGUAACGGAACACUGGUUCCUUAAAGACAGCCCAAAACGUUGUGAACGAAGAAAAAAAGGUGUCGGUGCCUUUAUACAAGGCAACCAGCAAAAUCAAGUUCAAGAUCGAAAAUCAUCGGUACGAAGGUCAUUAUUAGGAAGAGGAGGGGAAUUCCUUCACGGUGAGUGACUCCUCUGGGCCAAGGACUUUAGCUACUAGAACUGGCUUUCGCCUUUUACGCAAAGAUCUAUAUACGGUAGCUAAAUCCUGACAAUGAGUUCUGUCUCGAUUUUACGUCGGAUAUAAAAUAUCCGUCGUUUAUUAAUUGAAUCUUCUCAAGCCAAUUUACGAUGGCAUCUAUGCAAUUUAUUACUCAACUUUAUUGAGUGAUGUAUAGAAUAUUUUAACACUUUAACAUCCAACGUGUUUGUAAUCAAAGCAUAAAUUAAAAUUCCGUUUUAACUAUAUGAGGAAUAAUAUUCUCUUGAUAUUCCUAAAAUUUAAUUUAUUAGAAAUUUUAAGAAAUUAUCUUAUAUAUUUAAUUAUAUUGAAAGAAUUAUAUAUUCCUUUAAAAAAAUCGCAUAAUUUUGAGACGCCUCAUGUAUCGUUUAUCGAUGAAGUGGUCGAACUCAACGGUUAACUGUGUCUCGAUCAUAAAACCUUCGGCCAACAUGAUCGAAACCAGAUUCGAGAACCAUAUGAAUUUCCUUAUUACUCCUGGUAUAUGUUUAUAAGAAUCUUGUGACUGCAUUCGUAUAUAAGGUAUACUUUAAAGUACUUUGCUGAGAAAUGCAUCUAGGAAUGUAUAUGUAUUUUUUUAGAGUACAUUUAACUUGAAGCAUAAAAUGUGCGUGUGGAAGCAUGCGAUUAUUUUCUCUCUUCCCUAUAA
rnacentral:misc_RNA from 1 species